GGUGGGCAGCAGGUGGCGCAAGAGAGGAGCCGAGGCUGCAGAGGGGAGGAAAGAAGAGGAGAGGAGGAGGGAGGCCAAAUUAAGAGUGACAUGUCACAAACAACAUGAGAGGAGAGGGUAGGAGAGGAGGUGGAGGGGCAAAACUAGGCAUGACUUCUCAUGUAAAGAAGAGACCUGAGAGGAAAUGAGGAGAGGAAGGGAGGAGGCAAUAAUUAAGUUUGACCUCUCACAAAAAAAGGUAUGCAUCAUUUAAUGUUAUCACCACGUUUCG